UGCCCUUUGCUGUUGGGUCUUGCUCCGCUUGAUGAUUUACUGCUCGGAUCUCAUGGGGAAGAAUACCUCAGGUCUUUCAUAAUUUGCUGAACCUGGUAGACCCUAAAGCUCAGCUCUCUCACUGGCACUCCAAAUUUUGCUUGGAUUGUCGCAGAAAACAUGGGAACACAAAAUUGAGGCUUAUAGGAGGUGGGGUUUAUCUGAAGAAGAGAUUUCGUCAAUUUUCAGAGAGAGUCCCUUAAGUAUGGGUCUGUCUGAAAAGAAAAUUAUGUGCAACAUGCAUUUUCUCGUGUGCAAGAUGGGUUGGCAGCCUGCUGUUGUUGCUAGAGUUCCAAUUGUUCUGUGCUAUGGUUUGGAGACAAGGAUUAUGCCUAGAUGUUCAGUCGUAAGAGUUUUGCUUUUAAAUGGUUUGAUCAAGGCAGAUAUCCCUAUAUCCUCGGUCUUGACUAGUUGUGAAAAGUGCUUCUUGGAAAGGUUUGUAAUCAAGUAUCAGGAUCUGGUGCCUCAAUUGUUGGAUGUCUUUCAAGGAAAAAUGAGGCUUACAGAACUUGGCUUUGGUUUUGAUAAUAAAUCUGUGAUUCCGGAUUAGGAAACAUAUGAUAUUUGAUGUGAAUCUUGAACCUAUAGAUUUCCAUUUUCUGAUGUUUUCUGAUCGACUCCCUUAUUGGUGAACUAGCAAAGCUUGAAUGAACAAAUUUUUUAUUGUCUUUAUCUAAGAGGACUGUUUUUGAUGGUUUAAUUUAGUAGAUUUUUGUUUAAAUGUAGUUCCUUACGCAUCCAAUAAUAUUGUGAAUAUUUCUGAUAA